rnacentral:rRNA from 1 species
ACUCGGAGAUAGCUGGUUCUCCUCGAAAUAGCUUUAGGGCUAGCCUUGAGGUAAAGUCUAAUGGAGGUAAAGCACUGAUUGGACGCGGGUCCCCAAAAGGAUACCAACUUCUAUCAAACUCAGAAUGCCAUAUAGAUAUACUCAGGAGUCAGACUAUGUGAGAUAAGUUUCAUAGUCAAAAGGGAAAGAGCCCAGACCGACAGCUAAGGUCCCAAAGUGUGUGUUAAGUGGAAAAGGAUGUUAGGUUUCUAAGACAACUAGGAUGUUGGCUCAGAAGCAGCCACUCAUUUAAAGAGUGCGUAACAGCUCACUAGUCGAGAGGUCUAGCGCCGAAAAUGUCCGGGGCUAAAACACACCACCGAAGCUACGGAAUUACCUAUGGUAAUUGGUAGAGGAGCAUUCUGUAAGGAUGAAGCACAAUUGAAAGAGAGUGUGGACGAAACAGAAGAGAGAAUGCCGGAAUGAGUAGCGAGAUAUAUGUGAGAAUCAUAUAGGUCGAAUGUCUAAGGUUUCCUGGGUAAAGCUGAUCUGCUCAGGGUAAGUCGGGACCUAAGGUGAGGGCGAGAGCCGUAAUCGAUGGACAACAGGUAGAAAUUCCUGUACUACGUAUAAUCAGAACUGUGGGGACGCAGGAGGAUAGGAAAACCGGAGAAUGGAAAAAUCCGGCUAAGUACAAAGGUGUGAGUGAUAGGCAAAUCCGUCACUAUUAGCUGAAGUACGAAUGGGAGCGAAGAAAAGUAGCGAAGUUUCUGAAUCCACACUGUCAAGAAAAGCCGCUAUUGCGUUAUACGUACCCGUACCGCAAACCGACACAGGUAGACGAGGAGAAAAUCCACAGACCGACGGGAGAAGUGUUGUUAAGGAACUCGGCAAAAUGACCCCGUAACUUAGGGAUAAGGGGAGCCAACGCAAGUUGGUCACAGAAAAGAGGCUCAAGCGACUGUUUAGCAAAAACAUAGGUCUAUGCGAAACCGUAAGGUGAUGUAUAUGGGCUGACACCUGCCCGGUGCUGGAAGGUCAAAAGGAGAGGUUAGCGUAAGCGAAGCUUUGAAUUCAAGCCCCAGUAAACGGCGGCCGUAACUAUAACGGUCCUAAGGUAGCGAAAUUCCUUGUCAGGUAAGUUCUGACCCGCACGAAAGGUGUAACGAUUUGAGCACUGUCUCGACAACACGCCCGGUGAAAUUGAAGAACCAGUGAAGAUACUGGUUACCCGCAACAGGACGGAAAGACCCCAUGGAGCUUUACUGCAGCUUAAUAUUGGGAUUCGGUAUUGUAUGUACAGGAUAGGAGGGAGACUAAGAAGCUAGCACGCCAGUGUUGGUGGAGUCGAUGGUGGGAUACCUCUCUUAUAAUACUGAAUUUCUAACCUACUUCCGUAAUCCGGAAGAGGGACAUUGUUAGGCGGGCAGUUUGACUGGGGCGGUCGCCUCCGAAAGAGUAACGGAGGCGCUCAAAGGUCUUCUCAGAAUGAUUGGAAACCAUUCAAAGAGUGUAAAGGCAAAAGAAGGCUUGACUGCGAGAGUGACAACUCGAGCAGGUACGAAAGUAGGACUUAGUGAUCCGGUGGUAACAAGUGGGAGUGCCAUCGCUUAACGGAUAAAAGCUACCCUGGGGAUAACAGGCUUAUCUCCCCCAAGAGUUCACAUCGACGGGGAGGUUUGGCACCUCGAUGUCGGCUCAUCGCAUCCUGGGGCUGUAGUAGGUCCCAAGGGUUGGGCUGUUCGCCCAUUAAAGCGGUACGCGAGCUGGGUUCAGAACGUCGUGAGACAGUUCGGUCCCUAUCCGUUGUGGGCGUAGGAAAUUUGAUAGGAGCUGUCCUUAGUACGAGAGGACCGGGAUGGACGAACCUCUGGUGAAUCUGUUGGUAACCAAUGCCACAGCAGAAUAGCCAAGUUUGGAACGGAUAAACGCUGAAGGCAUCUAAGCGUGAAGCCAACCUAAAGACUAGAUUUCCCAUGCGAAAGCAGUAAGACUCCUUGU